GGACCCUGGACGCAACCCGCCUGGAUUAAGGCAUACAAUCCACCCAGGUCUGUGAGGCGCCGAUUGCGCAACACAAGUCCGAAGAAGCGCCGAAGCAGGACAUGCAAAGACCGCUAAGCGCAUGGGCCCGAUUCGACGGUAGAUGGUCCGUCCUCGAUGACGAGGAUGUGGCCGUGGUGCCGCAGAGGUGAAGUGAGCUGUGGUUGUGUAUGCGUAUAUUUGAUAAUUUGUUCGUGGGGGAGAGAGAUGUAAAGCAAAGAGAAGAAAUUGCUUUUCUCUGCGCUCAUGUACGCGUUUUCUUGAACUACGUGGCCCUCUCCAAUUGUGCAUGGGAGAGACCGCUACCCGAUAAAAGUAUGGAGAACGCAUUGCAGUUCAAUGGACGCACAAAGGGUGCAGAGCAGGCAAAGAAUACGAGGCCAUUCACCUCUCUGGCUCCAUGAUCACGAAUCUUGAAUUGCGCUUGUCGCGCUGAUUUAGUGCCACAGCCGAGCUUGCAGAGAUGCACAGGUCUCCCAGAGGGAGGUGCACCCCCGUCCGCGCGCCAUAUUCAGAUAUUCUGGCUUUGCUAACGCAAGGGAAUUGGGGCUGAGCGAGGGCUU
rnacentral:misc_RNA from 1 species